GUGAAUCAUCAAAUUUUUGAACGCAAAUUGCACUUUCUGGUAUUCCGAAAAGUAUGCCUGUUUGAGGGUCAUGUAAAUAAAAAUCGGUAUUAUUGCUAUUACUGGUGAUGCGUCUGGAUUGAGUCGUCUUUACCUUUUGUUUUAAGUGACUUAAAAUUAUGUACGAUUUCUUAACUUAUUUAAAGUAUUUACUUACGCUCAUGAUAUCACAUAUUAGGUGCGGUCAUUCACAUGAUGUCGCGUCUAUAAUUUUUCAUUAUUUGACCUCAAAUCAUGUAAGAAUACCCCCUGAACUUAAGC
rnacentral:misc_RNA from 1 species